UACGGGGGGGGCAAGCGUUGUUCGGAAUUACUGGGCGUAAAGGGUUCGUAGGUGGCCAACUAAGUCAGACGUGAAAUCCCUCAGCUUAACUGGGGAACUGCGUCUGAGACUGGAUGGCUUGAGUGCAGGAGAGGAACGCGGAAUUCCCGGUGUAGCGGUGGAAUGCGUAGAGAUCGGGAAGAACAUCAGUGGCGAAGGCGGCCUGCUGGGCUGUUGCUGACGCUGAGGCGCGACAGCGUGGGGGAGCAAACAGG
rnacentral:rRNA from 1 species